UUAAUACAAGAUGGCAUCAUGAGUCCGCAUGUUCACAUGAUUAAAGGUAUUCCGGUAGACGAUGGGGAUGCGUUCCAUUAGAUAGUAGGCGGGGUAACGGCCCACCUAGUCUUCGAUGGAUAGGGGUUCUGAGAGGAAGGUCCCCCACAUUGGAACUGAGACACGGUCCAAACUCCUACGGGAGGCAGCAGUGAGGAAUAUUGGUCAAUGGGCGAGAGCCUGAACCAGCCAAGUAGCGUGAAGGAUGACUGCCCUAUGGGUUGUAAACUUCUUUUAUAAAGGAAUAAAGUCGGGUAUGGAUACCCGUUUGCAUGUACUUUAUGAAUAAGGAUCGGCUAACUCCGUGCCAGCAGCCGCGGUAAUACGGAGGAUCCGAGCGUUAUCCGGAUUUAUUGGGUUUAAAGGGAGCGUAGAUGGAUAUUUAAGUCAGUUGUGAAAGUUUGCGGCUCAACCGUAAAAUUGCAGUUGAUACUGGAUAUCUUGAGUGCAGUUGAGGCAGGCGGAAUUCGUGGUGUAGCGGUGAAAUGCUUAGAUAUCACGAAGAACUCCGAUUGCGAAGGCAGCCUGCUAAGCUGCAACUGACAUUGAGGCUCGAAAGUGUGGGUAUCAAACAGGAUUAGAUACCCUGGUAGUCCACACGGUAAAC
rnacentral:rRNA from 1 species